GUUUCACAACAGCUGAUCUGGAUCAACUCGCCUUUAUGCACGCUGCCUUAGUCUUGUUCCAUCGGAUGCGCUGUAGGCGGACACGCGCCUGACUGCAUUCAAUGAGCACGCAAGGCACUUGGGGCGACUUCGGUCGCCCUUUUUUUCG
rnacentral:sRNA from 1 species